rnacentral:lncRNA from 1 species
ACUGCUUCUAGCCAACGAAUUGUGGGAAUUCCAGGCAAAUUGUAGGUUGCCUGCCAUAUCCACUCCAUGGCACCCCAUGGAAACCAUAUAUUGGGAGGGCAGUGUCACAGAUAAACAGAACUGGAUUCCUAAGGGACUAGAUGGAUGAAAGAGCCACUAACUCACUCAGAUUGUGUGAGCAAGCUAAAUAUAUCUGCUAAGUCACUGAGAUUUCAGGUUUAAUUUGUUACUGAGACAUAGCUUACCCAAUUUUCCAGGUAAGAAUACUGGAGCAGGUUGCCAUUUCCUACUCCAGGGUAUCCUCCUGACCCAGGAAUCAAACCUGCAUCCCUUGUGUCUCCUGCAUUUGCAAGUGGAUUCUUUACCACUGUGCCACCUGGAAGGCCCCUAUCCUGCCGAAUACCAGGGGAGAAUAUGGGAGUUUAAGAGCAUUCAGGCUUGGUCAGGACAAGCAUUUAAGGAAUAAGCCCAAAUGCAGACGUCCCAAAGCUGGCUGAGAGAUCAUCUUUGCUUUGAACCAGACCCGCCUGCAGCGAGAGCCUGCGAGCAGGCAGCUUUCAGGUCCCUUACACACAGAGGACCUCCUCAAACACUGGAACUGUGGGGACCUCGGCUCCAUCAUCUUCAGCCGUGACAGCUCCCAGAUGAGAGCCCUUGACUCCUGCCCAGCUCAGCACACAUUUAAGUGCAAGAAUAAGGACAUUACCUGCCGACACCGGGACAUCCUGUGUACAAAAGAUUGAGGUCAGGAAGGGCUCUGAAAAUAACCGUGCCGAUGUAUGUGUUGAGUGAGAUGCUGCAGUCAACAAAGACAUUCUUUAGGAAACCGAGGAACAUUGGGAGAAUUCAUUCCAGAUGAAGUCAAAGGAUAAAGCUUCAUGGGACUGGGCAGCAGGCAUCAUGAACCAGCCUGCAGAGAGGGGAAGGGGUCUGAGUCUGACAGCUUCCUGGCUG